GUUAAUUUUUGUUAUUUUUGUUAAUAACAUUAAUUUUUGUGUUUUCUUACGAUAUUUUGUUGAAUCAUAUUCUUUUACAACGAAAAAUAGUUAACCUUCAAAUAAAACAGGUUUUAGGGAACAAACACGCUCUUCAAGCAGUUUCCCUAAAUUAUAACACAGCCAUUUGGCUUUUUAACUUUUUUUUUAUAUAAAAAUAAAACAAAAUAAUGGAUUUAGCUCCUGAAAUCGCUUGGUGUCCCUCCGAUUUGUUUCCCCUUACGAUUGCUCUUCUAUAUUGACGUCGUGCCUGAGGAAGGUUUAAUUGUAAAACCGAAACAGCUGUAGCACCGAUUUGCCAGUUUAAAUAAACUAUUUUUCGUCGUACAUUCAACCCCAUGUUAAUUUAAUUUAAAACCGGAAGAAGCCUAGGAACAAGAUUAAAAGAAUAUAAAAACAGCUCAAAGACGAACUUUAGAAGACACCUAAAAUGUUCAUCAUUUCAAUGAAGAUAAAAACAAUACUCCUACACCAACUAGUGUCAAUUCAAUCGACAACUACCUUUCUUUAAUUAUAAUUCUAGUUUAUCACUAUCUUAUUAUUCAUUAAUGUACCUUUUGUAAAGGUUUUCUGAUGUAAGUUGAUUUUAAUUUUGGUUGUAGAACGAUUUUGAAAUGUAUAUACUAAAUUAUAUAGGUUAUUAUAUACAUUAUAUACGAAAUGUAUAUUAUAGGAUUUCUACUGAUGAUGGGCAGGACCCGAAACCUGGUAUAGACAAAUAAAUUAAACAUAUACAUCA